AUUUUCUCUGUUCCAAUUCCUUCAUUGUAAUGUUGGAGGGGCUGUGACUAGAAGAGGCCCAAAGCUGAAGAAUGGUAAAAUAUUGUUAUCUAUAACCACAGGACAGGCUAUUCACUCUUAAUAAAAUGUGCUUUUUAUUGACCAAACUUCCCUUCUCCAUCCCUGACACACUCACACACACAAGGGCACACACACAUCCACACACACAUUAAUGUCACACUUUUCUUCAUAUUCACACAUCAUGAAAACACUCCCUGACAUGACAGAUUUGAAGAUUUAAAUAAGCAAUAUUUUCCUAUUUUUUUUUUUUUUUUGCAGAUAGAGUCUUGCUCUAUCACCCAGGCUGGAGUGAAGUGGUGCAAUCUCAGCUCAAUACAACCUCUGCCUCCUGGGUUCAAGCCAUUCUCCUGCCUCAGCCUCCCUAGUAGCUGGGACUACAGGCUGUACAAGAAGCAUGACAUUGGCAUCUGCAUCUGGUGAAGGCUUCAGGUCAUCUCUACUCAUGGCAGAAGCUAAAGAGGGGCCACCAUGUUCAAAGAUCACAUGGCAAGAGAGAAAGUGGGAAUGGGGGUUAUAUCAGGCUGUUUUCAACUACCAGCUUUCAUGAGAACAUAACAGAGCAAGAAUUCAGUCAUCCUUAAUGGAUGACAUUAAUCUAUUCAUGAGAAAUCCUCUCCCAUGAAACAAACUGUUCCUAUUGGACCCCAUGUCCAACACUGUGAUCAAAUUCCAACAUGACACUUGGAGAGGACGAAGAAACCAUAGCGGCAACAUUUGUCCUGGAAAGAAAAUAUGCUUGGUCACUGGCCAGGUGAUGGCAACCGUUCACCUUGGUCUAAUUACCAAAGGAGUAAAGAAGAAGACAGAGGGGCCUGACCAUUCGGAUUCUCCCUACAGAGUUGGGAGGUAAGAUACAUUAAAAUAUAUAUAUAUAUAUACUUAGCAUAUAAAUAUUAUUAUGAGCUUAGUUUACAUUCUGCAGAACUGCAGCACUAGU
rnacentral:lncRNA from 1 species